rnacentral:rRNA from 1 species
CGGAGGAUCCGAGCGUUAUCCGGAUUUAUUGGGCUUAAAGGGUGCGUAGGCGGCCUGUUAAGUCAGGGGUGAAAGACGGUAGCUCAACUAUCGCAGUGCCCUUGAUACUGAUGGGCUUGAAUGUACUAGAGGUAGGCGGAAUGUGACAAGUAGCGGUGAAAUGCAUAGGUAUGUCACAGAACACCAAUUGCGAAGGCAGCUUACUAUGGUAUUAUUGACGCUGAGGCACGAAAGCGUGGGGAUCAAACAGGAUUAGAUACCCUGGUAGUCCACGCCCUAAACGAUGAAUACUCGAUGUUAGCGAUAUACAGUUAGCGUCAAAGCGAAAGCGUUAAGUAUUCCACCUGGGGAGUACGCCCGCAAGGGUG